CAGCAGCCGCGGUAAUACGGAGGGAGCUAGCGUUGUUCGGAAUUACUGGGCGUAAAGCGCACGUAGGCGGCUUUGUAAGUUAGAGGUGAAAGCCUGGGGCUCAACUCCAGAAUUGCCUUUAAGACUGCAUCGCUUGAAUCAUGGGGAGGCGGGUGGAAUUCCGAGUGUAGAGGUGAAAUUCGUAGAUAUUCGGAAGAACACCAGUGGCGAAGGCGGCCCGCUGGACAUGUAUUGACGCUGAGGUGCGAAAGCGUGGGGAGCAAACAGGAUUAGAUACCCCUGUAGUCCCUGUCUCUUAUAU
rnacentral:rRNA from 1 species